AAACUAACAAGGAUUCCCCUAGUAACUGCGAGUGAAGCGGGAAAAGCUCAAAUUUAAAAUCUAGUGCUUGCACUCGAGUUGUAAUCUGGAGAAGCAUUUUCCGCGUCAGACCGUGUACAAGUCUCUUGGAAUAGAGCGUCAUAGAGGGUGAGAAUCCCGUCCAUGACACGGAUUACUGAUGCUUUGUGAUAUGCUCUCGAAGAGUCGAGUUGUUUGGGAAUGCAGCUCAAAAUGGGUGGUAAAUUCCAUCUAAAGCUAAAUAUUGGCGAGAGACCGAUAGCGAACAAGUACCGUGAGGGAAAGAUGAAAAGCACUUUGGAAAGAGAGUUAAACAGUACGUGAAAUUGUUGAAAGGGAAACGCUUGAAGUCAGUCGCGUUUGCUCGGACUCAGCCUUGCUAUUCAGCUUGGUGUACUUCCUUGUGAACGGGUCAACAUCAAUUUUGGUUGGUGGAUAAAGGUUGAGGGAAUGUGGCAUCUUCGGGUGUGUUAUAGCCCUUUACUGCAUACGCUGGCUGGGAUUGAGGACUGCAGCACGCCUUUAUGGCCGGGGCUUAGCCCACGUAACGUGCUUAGGAUGUUGGCAUAAUGGCUUUAAGCGACCCGUCU
rnacentral:rRNA from 2 species